UUCUUGCUUGCGGCCAACAUGGAAUGAAUGGAAUGCAUCUACGAAAUCCUGGACAGAGACAUAGUGAUAUGGUUCGUUUCUGGCCCAAUACUGAUACUGAUCUUUUCUUGAUGUUACCUAGUAUAGGAAGAAAUUAGAAAUCAGAUCAUUAGGCUCUCUAGGUUGAAUGUAAAAAUGUACACAAUCCUAAAAAAAUUAGAUAGAAGCUUACUUCUUGCAAGAAGUCUGCCACCCCUUUUCUUUCAGGACAUUUAAAACCCAUGGACUCAAAGAACUCAAGUACGUUCUCACGAGGACCUUGGUACACUAUCUGCCCAUCUGAAAGUAGAAUAAUUUCAUCGAAAAGGUCAUAAGUUUCUGGUGCUGGCUGAAGAAGUGCAAUUACUGCAGUUCCACCAAGUAUGUGAACAGACUGCCUUAGUGAAUUUACAAUCUGGAAAGUAGUUGAACUGUCAAGGCCUGUUGAUAUCUCAUCCAUGAACAAUGCUUUUGCUGGUCCGACAAGCAUCUCCCCUGUAUAUUAAAGAUUUUAGGAUUUGCUGAUCUCAAUUCAGAAGUUUUCUUAGUCCCAAUCACUGAAAACAUUUUGCUUUUCUCUACCUGUGGUGACACGCUUCCUUUGUCCUCCUGAGAUACCCCUCAUCAUCUCAUUACCUACAAACGUAUCGGCACAGAUAUCUAGUCCCAAAAUCUGAAAUUUGAAAAGAAGAUAUUAAGUUAAAUAAGGAGAAAAAGUACCAGUUAUAGGUGGCAUUAUAAAACUGAAUAAUUGCAAGCGUAUUUUUAGAAUAUACCUUGAGAAUGUAGUCUGUUACGACAUUUUCCUUCUGCCCUUCCAGUGCUGAUGCCUGUCCCAAAGAAAGAAAGAAGAGAAGUCUUAGAUGCAAAACCAUUAGAAAACUUCGACCAAACUUCACCAAGUGUUAAAACAGUUGUCAAGUUAUAAUAGGAUUUCAUUAAAUUUUGUCCGUUCAUGUUACAUCUCAUUUCAAGAUAUAACUUAUAAGUCAGUAAGCUUUCUUAGAAGAAUUGUGUUGUUACCUUCAUGUACACAUCAACAUCAGGAUCUGGCUUAAUAUUUGCUGCCACUUCUCUUCUUGACAGUUCUUUCAACAUUUCUGCACAUUUUCAUUACAUAGAUAUUUUGGAUUCAUUAUUUUGCAUAUACUAGCUAUAUGACUAUAUCCAUAACAUUUUUAGCUAUAUGCCUGUAUAUGCAUAGGAUAAAGCUUCUCUUGCUUACCAUAUCGGAACCCGACCCCUUGGCAUCUUGCAGAGAAGGCCAAGAUUUCCCUUACAGUCAUUUCUCCAAUGUGGAGAUCGUUCUGACUAAUAUAAGCAGAGGUCCUCCUUGGAACAAAUUCAUGCAUUUCAUGUCCAUUGUAAGUUACUUUUCCUGAAACCUACAGUAUAUGCAACAGAAAUCUCAAACUUUCACAUCCUGCAAAAUAAUUCUUAGCAUCUAGGAUUUGAUGAAGCAUUAAAAUCCCUCGAAAGGGGUAUACAGAUAAAUGAUCCAUUUCUUCACCUCUAGUGUUGGAUCAAGCUUUCCUGACAAAGCUAACAACAAACUAGUCUUCCCAGAUCCUGGAGGACCUAAUAACAAAGUCAUUCUGCAAAUGGCUCAAAGUUAGUCUUAGGUGAAACUAAAUGAAAGCCGAGAUUACUUGUAACCCAACUAUGGUUCAGUUGUCUUACCGGCUGGGUUUGAUGAUCCCACUAACAUCAUGAAGAAUUGACAAGUGUUUCUUUCUACUUGGGAGUAUGUGGAGCUGGUUCAAGAACCCCUUUACAACAAAAGUAAGAAUCAAUAUAUCAGUACUACUCAUGUUUAUGUUUCUGGUCUAGAAGGUAAGCCAACUUAAUUCUCAGUUCCUCUCUCUUACCUCUAGCAAAUUAACAGGAACAUUAACAACCGUAGGUAAAGCUCUGCUUCCGAUAUAGGCCUCUGCACUAACAUUUAGAUGCUCAAACCGAACUUCAAUUGUUGGAUUUUUAAUAUCCACCCUGAACAGAACAAAAAGAAGAUGAAAAAAACACUUUAGCAAUUCAUCAAAAUAUGAUGAGACGUUGUGAAUUAACAGAUGUAUAUAGAUUAUAGAAUGGAAUCAUGGGUGAGCUUACCGAUCCAUUCUUCCUUUGAGUUUGAGCAAAAACUUUUCAUUAUCAUCUUCGGCAACUCUGACCAGCCUCUCAACCAAAUUCUUCCUCUCUUGCGUAUCAAGAUGUUCUAUAUCAACUUCCUUAUGUGUUCCAUCAAGUCCACUCAAUAUACCUUUUCUGAUCCUAUUAUAUGUUGGUAGUCUCUCUAUAGAAGCCCAUUUCAAGGCUUCUUCAUCAUCUUCAUCACGAGAAGAUCGUGAGAAGACAUCAGCAUUUGUAUUUCUCCAUAUUCCUGAAGAAUUUUGACUUCUACGUAGACUAGCAACUCUGUAAAUAUCACUGUUGUCCAUUCUCACAAAAUCAAGCCAAAUUCAUCAAAGGAGACAAUAUAACAAAAGGGUUUCCUCUGUUUCUUAUAAUAAACUGAAUCCCACUGAGGUUUUCAGUUAAAAGAAAAAAAAAAAAAAAAAACUUUGAAAUCAAUAAUUAUUGAAACACAAGGUAUGUUAUUGUAUUGUCUUAGUGUUUUCUUUCUUUCUUUCCCUGAUAAGAAAGCAAAGAGAAAAAAGAAGGGAGAGUGUAGUGAGAGAGCUCAGGUGAUUGGAAGCUAAAUAGCAAAAAAAUAAUAUCCCAACUUAUCUUGACAUAUGCUGUCACUUUAUUGACUAAGGUGGUGACUUAUUAUUAUCUACUUUCAAUCCUGAUGGCUAUUAUUUAACAGGGAAAAAAAAAACUUUUACAAUAUAUAUAUCAUUUGAGGCGGCUUUGAAUUGCAAAUUCUAAACAGUGAUUUGUUGUUUAUUUUAUGGCUUUUGCAAUCUGCAUCAUUUUUUUGAUUUUUGCAUGGAGUCACUUCAGGAAUAGAUAUGUUGAAGUAGUAGUUGUUCUAAAUACGUAAACUGUUUCGGUUCCUGUUGUUGUUUUGCAUGAAGUAGUUAGUUGCUCUCAUGAGGGGAGCAGUCCUUGAGGGAUACAUUAAAGUCUCUUGAGGUUCGGUGCAUUUGGCUCGAUGAUCAUACUUUUUGUUGAACACAUUGUUAUCAAAACAAAUCAAAUUCCAAUAAAAUUCGUCUCAUUUAUAGAAGGGCACUCUCGGCUAUUUCCAUUCCAAUUUUUAGUUUAUUAGUUAAGCUAUGAUCAUUGCAAAAUUAUAAGUACAGUAUUCGCAUAAUAACCAUUGAUAUGUAUUUUGCAUAUAAAAGUUGAAAAAACUGCCUCGUAAACUAGUUCAUAAUGUGAAACUUUUCUAAAUGCACACCGUAUAGAAAUGCACAAAAAAUAUUAGUCUCAUAUAUAUAUAAUGGGGAUAUGUUAAUUUUUAUUUUAUAAACGCACACCCUCUGCAAAUGCACAUUUUUUCUUGGUCUCAAGGCCGUACAUUUAGAGACAGGUUUCACUGUAUAUGUCUUUUAAAAAUAGUAAAAAAAGGCUAUAGUAUAUUAGUAUAACUAUGAAGUAUUUGUGAUCUGGGGACCAAGUGAUUAGUUCUUAUGAACCCUGAAAUCAUCUUGUGGAAAAAUGUGGCAUGAUGUUGUCAAACUUGACAUGGUCACGUAAGGUGAACUACUUUACUCCAGAGUCCAGACAGAGAGCAGUGUACUAAGUUUGAAGCAUCUCCUUGGCUUGGACUGUAAUAUACUUAGUCUACCUGUUUUGUUUUCAUCAAAUAGACUGUAAUAGUUUAUACUUGAUUUGUUGUCAAUCAAUAUGAUAUACUAUUUCUUCCAGUGAGAACAAUUAUUUUUUUGUUUUCAUUGCUAAUUAAGAAUUUUGUUCUUCCAGCCGUACAACACAACAAAGUGGUCAGACUCAGACGAAGGAGAAGACCAUAAUGUUCAAGGUUAAGUGAGAUUAGGGGGCCGUUCGGCAAAUAAGUAAAAGCAGCGAAGGAAUUUUCGUCAAAGUAGCAGCGGAGAAAUGAGAAAGAUGAAAGGAGAAAGCUACUAUACCAGUGCAUACUUUCUAUUUUCUGACUUCUUAAAAUUACUUACUAUUUUUUUUAUUUACGUUGACAAACAUAUUUUCUACUUCUUUCCUUUUUAAAAGUUAAGAAAUGUAUUUCUACGCCUUUGCCGAACGGCCCUAAAUGCCUGGGACGAUUUACAUACCUGUGCAUGUUUAAGAUGUAAGCAACUAAGCAAUGAUUUCAUUCUAUGUUGAAAUUCCAAAAACUCAUACUGGAUUGAAUUCAAAUGAUAUGUGAUCUAGUUC
rnacentral:lncRNA from 1 species